GAUGAACGCUGGCGGCGUGCCUAAUACAUGCAAGUCGAGCGAACAGAUAAGGAGCUUGCUCCUUUGACGUUAGCGGCGGACGGGUGAGUAACACGUGGAUAACCUACCUAUAAGACUGGGAUAACUUCGGGAAACCGGAGCUAAUACCGGAUAACAUAUUGAACCGCAUGGUUCAAUAGUGAAAGGCGGCUUUGCUGUCACUUAUAGAUGGAUCCGCGCCGUAUUAGCUAGUUGGUAAGGUAACGGCUUACCAAGGCAACGAUACGUAGCCGACCUGAGAGAGUGAUCGGCCACACUGGAACUGAGACACGGUCCAGACUCCUACGGGAGGCAGCAGUAGGGAAUCUUCCGCGAUGGGCGAAAGCCUGACGGAGCAACGCCGCGUGAGUGAUGAAGGUCUUCGGAUCGUAAAACUCUGUUAUCAGGGAAGAACGAAUGUGUAAGUAACUGUGCACAUCUUGACGGUACCUGAUCAGAAGGCCACGGCUAACUACGUG
rnacentral:rRNA from 1 species